CAAUAAGUGUUUUAUGGCACUUUUUCAAUCCAUAUCCACCUUGUGUGCAAUGUUGUCUUGUAGUGCGAAUGCUUGUCAUUUGCGCUACAGGAUGUAAACAUCAACUCUUAUCUUUAACAACUUUGUCUAAAACCUGUAUGAAUACUUAAUUCAAAUA
rnacentral:misc_RNA from 1 species